UGGCCGGGGGCGGCAGCCCAACAGCAUCCCGUCCAUCAGAAACGAGCAGUAAUUGCGUUUCCAUGGCUUUGCUCUCCCGUGGAGGAGCACUGGUGUGGGUGAAUCUAAAUGCUUCCACAAGCACUGCUUCCAUCAGUCAGGAGAGCUGGAUAUAGAGCAAAAGGAGAGAAAAGGAAGGAAAAACAGCUGGUUAUGGCUGUUUAGAAUAUGUUUGUGCAUAUGUGUCUCCUUUUCCAAACACUUUGGGAAGAAACAGUCUGCAACUGAAGUCGCAUCAAAAGUCUGAUUCAGAGCGCCUAAUCAGAAAUUAAGAACUCUCUAGCUUCAUGGCUGGGUGAACAAAGACCUUUCAAGAACAUUUCUCUGCUC